rnacentral:lncRNA from 1 species
GACUAACAUAGGUAAGACUUCAAAAGUUUCUGAAUUAUAGUCAUUCUUGCUUUUAACAUUGCUGGAUGGCCUCAAGUUCUUGAAGCUGCUUUGACUUCAACCUAGGGAUAGAUUUUGUGUAUUUUAACAGUACAGAGUGGGAGGUGUUUUUUCUGACAAUUAAAGUUUUCUUCUCACCCCUACCUUUCAGAGUCCUCCCUCACAGCCUACCACAUAGUCUACAGAGAAUAUCUGCUUUCACAGGCACUCAUUGAGCUGCAAAAAUUCACACCUCCAAUGGGUCUCCAGUCACUUUAGCUGGCUUUGUAGGGGAUGCACAUGGGAGCCCCCAAGCAGUCCCUCUGAUUGGAAUGGGACUAUGAAAAUGAGAGUAGAGACUUUGUUUGAUGUAUUAAAUGUGCAGAUGCACAAGCUCCCUGAAGGUGUAGAAUGGAGUAAAGAGGAAAAGGACGCUGAAUGAAGCAGCACAGAAGUUAUCCAGAAUUUCAGUUGCCAGUGGAAAUUACAGCUAAGAGAAGACUCUGCUAUUUUGUGAAAUACCUUCCUG